UACGUAGGGUGCGAGCGUUAAUCGGAAUUACUGGGCGUACAGCGUGCGCAGGCGGUUUGUUAAGUCUGAUGUGAAAGCCCCGGGCUCAACCUGGGAAUGGCAUUGGAAACUGGCAAGCUCGAGUGCGGCAGAGGGGGGUGGAAUUCCGCGUGUAGCAGUGAAAUGCGUAGAGAUGCGGAGGAACACCGAUGGCGAAGGCAGCCCCCUGGGCCGACACUGACGCUCAGGCACGAAAGCGUGGGGAGCAAAC
rnacentral:rRNA from 1 species